ACACUGAAAAAAGUAUAUUUAACAAUAGUCAAUGUAAUGUAAUAUUUUACGAAAAUUAAAUGUACAUUUUUUGAGUUAAGGAUCACAACUCAAAAAUGUGGUGGCAAACAACUUGAAACUGCCCAACUAAGGGCAAAGUGAUGUUUCCUUAUUGAACCAAAGUGCUGAAUUUAAAUAGAACUAACUAGUGCGUAUGACGUCAUCACGUCAGAUUUAUUCCCGCCUCUGAAGUUCUAGAUUGACCAUCUACCAGCACCAUUCUCGGAACCGGAGCUGAAACAACGCUCUCCUGAUUCCUUUUUGCCUUGUUCAAUGUAAUUCCCUGGUAGAAAACCACCCAACAUCUGGAAUUGCAAAUUGUCAAAUUGAAUGGCAUGGAGUUGCAAAGACUGUCAUAGUGUCUUCACAAGAAGAUCUCAACUGCUUGGGCACUACAAACUAAGCCACGGACAAUAUGGAAGAGGUCAUUCUUAUCCAUGCACCUAUUUAAGUUGUGCCUGCCGAUUCAAAACUUGGAAUGCUUUACGGAGCCAUCUAGCAAGAUGUCAUUCCUCUUUUAAACCACAAACAAAGGCAUCAGCAUAUAUAUGUCCCGUUUGUUCUUGUAGUCUGCAUUCUACAGAAAGGGAUUUCUUUCAUCAUAUUUUUGCUCAUCUUAAAAACAAAGUGUGUGUCACUUGUGUGUACCAGAACUGUUUCUACAAAACAAAUGUCUAUGAAAACUACAAAAGUCAUAAAUACAGAAAACAUUCUGGUAAAGUUGAUGAGUUUAAACCAGAAAUAGUUUUACUUACAAAAAACCCUGAAGAAUUAUCUGCCAGUGUUGCUGUUUUCUCAGAUGGGGAAAGCAGUAUUGGCUGUAAUGAAACUUUAGAUGAUGAUGCUGAGCAGUUAGAGAAGGAUUUUGAGAUCAAACUUGCUUCAGUUCUUCUUAAGUUAGAAAGUGUUUUUCUUGUGUCUAAUGCAGCAGUCGAUGAGCUCUUACAAGAGUUGAGUUAUUUGAUCGGUUCGCUCUGUGUACCAGUUACUAAGAAUACAGUUGUGCAAAUACUUCAACAGAAUAACUGUCCUUUUGACCAUUUACUUGUGGAAAAUUUAGCAAGUGCAGUUUGUGACAAAAACCCUGUUAAAAAGGCAAUAAGGAAAAAAGGGCCCCUCUCCAGUGUUUGGAGGCGAAAGGCUUAUUAUAGAAGACAUUUUGGUGUAGUUGAACCGUUAGAAUAUUUUCUUGAUAAAAAAAAUGGAAAGUCAUUUCAGUAUAUUUCAAUUUUAAAGACUCUACAGGAAAUCUUGGACUGUGAAGCAAUACUGAGUCAAACAGAGCAUAUACAAACAUUACAUAAAGACUCAGGAGAAGGCAUUUACAAGUCAUUUUUUGAUGGUGCCAUAUUCAAAGAAAAAGUUCUCUCAAACGAGGAAAGCAUUUCAUUAAUAUUAUACAUUGAUGAUUUUGAGAUAUGCAAUCCCCUUGGGACAUCUAAAAGAAAGCACAAAAUUUGUGGAUUGUAUUGGACUCUCGGUAAUUUGCUCCCCGGUUGUAACUCUGCAUUGUCGUCUAUUUACUUGGCAGCUUUAAUUAAGAGCAAUGAUCUAAAGUCUUACAGUUAUGCAAAAGUCUUAGAGCCUCUAAUAAGAGAUCUUCUGUUUUUGGAACAGAGUGGUUUGUAUGUUCCAAAGUUAGGUAAAACCCUCAAAGGAACCCUUCAAUGUGUAGUGGCUGACAACCUCGCUGCACAUGGUAUUGCUGGGUUUGUAGAGAAUUUUACUGGAGACUACAUUUGUCGCUUUUGCACUGCAAAAUCCUCUCAAUAUCAAACAACUGAGGUUAACAGAGGAACAUUUACAUUAAGAGACAAAAAUAUUCAUUCAGAUCACCUAAAAAGUCUUGAAGGAACUGAAAUAUCCAGUUGUUAUGGUGUCAAGUCAAAUUGUGUCUUGUCAGAACUGUUGUAUUUUGAUCUAACCAAAGGAUUUCCACCGGACCUUGCCCAUGAUGUUUUUGAGGGCAUAGUUCCUUUUGAAAUUGCCCUUUGCCUUGGAGUUUUCAUUAAAAAAAAAUAUGUCACACUAGUUGCUUUGAAUGAAGCAAUAUCAUCAUUCAACUUCAAAUGGAGUGACAAAACUGACAGACCUCACCCUGUUGCUCAGAGUUUUGCAUCAAAAAAGACUGUGGGCGGCAAUGCCCAUGAGAACUGGAGUUUGCUUCGAUUUCUUCCCUUGUUGUUAGGGCAAAGUGUUCCUUGUGAGGAGCCAGCUUGGCAAGUUCUUUUGGACUUAAAGGACAUUGUUGAAAUAAUAGUUUGUCCAGUUCAGACAGAAGAGUCCGUUGCAUAUCUUGAUUUUAAGAUUUCAGAGCACAGGGUCAAAUUCCAAGAGGUCUUUACUGACUGUGAACUUAAGCCCAAGCAUCACUUCCUUGAGCACUAUCCGCACUUGAUACGUCAGUAUGGACCACUUGUUGCCCUCUGGACAAUGCGCUUUGAGUCAAAGCACAGCUUUUUUAAGAGAGUUGCAAGGAACGUCAGAUGCUUCAAAAAUGUGUUGCUCACGCUUGCAGAAAAACACCAGCUACAGAUGGCUCACCACCUACAGUCCUGCAAGGUUUUGAAACCUUCAUUGGAAGUUUCCACUGUCACCAACGUUCAAACGGACAUUCUGAACAAGGACAUUGUAAGCGCUCUUAAACAAAAGUCUGUAAAUGUAGAGACCGUUGCCUUUGCUGAAAGUGUGACACACAAUGGACUUCUUUACAAAUGUGGAAUGAUCCUGGUCCAUGGCUCGCUGGGAGGACUACCAGAGUUUUGUGAGAUUAUCCACAUGGUCAUUCUUCACAACAACCCUCUGUUUGUUGUCAAAAAGCUCAGUGUGUGGUACAUUGAACAUUUUAGAUCAUAUGAUCUAAAAUGUUCUCCAAACAAGGAAGUAGAAGUUCUGGAGCCUAAAGAACUGCUUGACAGAUACCCCCUUGUUGACUACAGAAUUGGAGGAAUGCGCCUUGUCACUUUAAAAAGAUACAUUCAUGUUUAAAGGGUGAGGAGAAUGAUGUGUAUGCAAUGCUUGUAAUUGGAAUAUUUGUGUCAUAUUAACUAGUUAAAGAAUCUUUAUAUACAGUUGCAGGAAAAGGUUUGUGAACCCUGUGGAGUUUCAUGGAUUUCUGCCCGUUGUGGUCCUAAAAUGUGAUCUGAUCUUCAUCAAAGUCCCAACAAUAGACAGUCUGCUGAAACUAAAACCACGAAAAUAAUUUUGUUUUUAUUUUUUUAUUGAACACACCAUGUAAACAUUAACAGUGGAGGUGGAAAAAGCUUGUAAACCCUUGGAUUUAAUAGCGGAUUGAACCUCUUUUGGCAGUAAGAAGUUCAACCAAAUGUUUCCUGUAGUUCAGAUCAGACCUUAGGAAUUCAUCUUUUCUUCCAUGAGAGCAAUCCCCCCAGGCCCUGACGCAGCAAAGCAGCCUCAACCACGAUGCCCCACCACCAUACUUCUCAGUAGGGAUGAGUUUCGGAUGUUGCUGUACUGAGCCUCUUUUUCUCCACGCAGUGUUGGGUAGUUCUUUCAACAACUCAAUUCUGGUUCCAUUUGUCCAAAGAAUAUGUGCUAAAAGGGUUGUUGGCACAUCCCAUUGAUUUCUUUCAGUCUUUAGCUGAUGCUUGGAUUCUUCUCCUCAUUGAGCAUUAUUGAACAGUAAUUGCUGUCAAAGGAGCUUCAACUAUUUAUUGUUCACAUACUUUUUCCACGUGCACUCUGAAUGUUUACUUAAUGCAUUAUUUUAGUUUGAAAACACAUAAUUCUAUGUGUGGUAUUUUAAGGCAGACUGAUUAUUGUUGUUGCUUAGAAUAUCAGAUCACAUUUUACGGCCAAUUUGUUUUUAGAUAUUUUGAUGCUAAUUUCAGAACGGGGUAUUUAACCCUAAGCUUUACAUGUACUUUUUUUUUGUCCUUAAGAACAUGAAGUAGAGACUCAUGCCAAUUGUUUGUUUUUCAGAUUACCAUGGCUGCAGCAAGACUUAAAGUCAUCUUGGGCGAAAACAAUGUGGAAAAAUUGAUUCUUCCAAAUGGUAUACCCCAGUCUUUAUUAGAACUUGUCAAUGUCGUAAAGAACACCUUUGGAAUCACAACAGAAAUUCGCCUGCAAUACAUGGACCAAGAUUUUGGAAAUGAGUUCUUCAAUCUAAACGCAACCUCUGAACUGCAGGAUUUGGGAACAAUCAAGGUGGUUCAACAGGAAGUUGUUCCACUCAUAAUCACACUUACUGAUGAUGUUUCAUCAGCUUGUGCCACUUUUGAUGCUGUUGAUUGCUCUUUACAGGCAUCAAACAACACAAACAUACUCCCUUCUCCUCCAAAACUGUCAUUUCGAAGCGUGCAGUGGCCGGCGGUGUUUCCUAUUCCACAAUUUUCGUAUGACACCGAGCUUGUGCUUGAAAGGGGAAAUGCUGAAUACAAAUCAUCCUCCAAAUUGGUGUAUCUCAGCACAAGAACCAAAUCUGACAUUCUGAACAAAGUAUCUGAAGAAAUCUUCAAGUACAAAGCUUAUCCAUGUGAUGAACACUUUGUUGCAGUGGCAGAAGCUUUAAUCAAAAAACAUCCGUGUUUGAAGGAACCUGGAUCCUCAAAUGGAUGGUACGGAUGGAAGCAGAGGCUCAAGUACAAAAUGGGAAAUCUUAGAACCCAGCUCAGACUGCACGGGUGCCCAGAGGUAGCUGUUAACUCCAUGAAGUCCAAAGUUACAGAAGGAUCUUCUGGCAGAAACGUAAAAAGGCCUAAAAGGGCAGAAGCUAACUUUUAUCCAUCUUUGCCAACUGGGGACACUUCCGAAUCCCUUGAACAGGAAAGACUUUCACUUCUGACUGAAGUGAAAAUAAGACACAAUGACCGGGUCAUUGCAGACAAAAUGGCACGCACUUUUGCAUACAGGCGACAAGAGGUGGUGGACGGUGAGCCAAGAAUCCAGGAUUUUAAGGGUCGAUGGCCGGCUCUUUUUGAUCAACGAGAGGUAAGAAGACAUUGUUAUUUAAUUUAAUCGUUGACAGAGGCUUUAUAUAUUAAAGCUUUUAUGUUUUUCUUGCAGAUCAAUGCAGAGUUCCAGAGGCUUGUAGCUCUUCCCCUAGAGCAGAAGUUUUUUUCCCAACUUGACAAGUACUCCACCAAAUUGAUGACCGCCAUUCGCUCAAGAGGAGGAUCAACCAGGGAGAAGAUAUCUGGGCUGACACAAAUCUUUGACCAGACCGAAGACGUCAACAAAAAAAGAGAGUGUGUCCUGAAAGCCCUCGUCCCUUUCCUUGGAGAGGAUGGAAAUGCUUUCAUCAAAGAAUACACGGACAGUCACAGAGCAGAGAUGCAAAAAGACCUGGAAGACGUCACGAUGGCUGUGUAUGUCAUCCGGUCCGAGGGAGAUGAACUUCAAGGGCCUCCUGAGGACAUUGGGAUUGUAAUCGAAGGAGUAGAGGUUCUUGAUAGACUGUCCUCAGUUGGAACAGCAUGUGCACUCCUGUUAGGUUUGAUCUACAUUCUUAAUCUGGCUUAUCCAAAGGUCCUUCGCUUUACAUUUGAGGUGUUGCAGAAAAUUAUAAUGGAGCUGGAACCUCAAAAGAUGUCUCCAAAGGUGCAGAACCUGUAUGUGAAACUGCUAAAUAUGAAUUAAUAUUGGUGGUUUGCAACCACAAGAUCAGUUUUUGCCAUUUCCUUUUCCAAAAUGUACCUGUAGCACAGGUAUGUUGUUUGUAGCUGUCUUUUUUCCCAGCAUGGUGCAGAAACUAUAAUCUAAGCCUUGAUUGUUCACUGACGGUGAAGUAAUUUGAAAAUAGAAUUUCUAGGAUUUUCCAAUUCUAAGUAAUACUUAGAUAAGUGAGGGGAAAAAACAUUCUGUAACCAGUCCAGUCAUUCUCCUGAUCUGGCAACAGACAGUUUACUUUAGUUGAGCAUAAAACAAUAAAGGUAAAGGGGAAUGAAAUGCUUUUGUUAAAAUUAAUUUAUAUUGUUUUUGGGCUAAAACGAAGCAAAUAGACUGCUGCUAAAACAGGAGAAAAACUGGGCUGUUACAGAAUGUUUUUUUUUCUCAUUUACCAAAGUUUUACUUAGGAUUGGAAAAUCCCUUUAAAGCCAAGUGUCAUCUACUCUGUUUUUUAUAUGCACUUCAGUUUAGAUUUGUUCUUUUGCUGCAUCUUGGUUUUGAUUCUGGUUCAGCCAUGGAUUUUGGAUUGCAUGUAGGUUUCAGUGAAAUGAGUUUUGCCUAUGGUUCAAAUUAAAAGGGCACCAUUGAUGGUACAUCAGCUGACUUUUUAAACCCGUGUUUAGCAAUUCUAGUUCUCGAGUGCCAGUAUACGGCAACGUUUAAUUGUGUCUCUGCUUCAACACACCUGAAUCAAAUAAUCUGGUCAUUAACAGGGCUAUGGAUUCCUGAACUGCAUACUGAGGUUUUUCAGCCAUUUUAUUCAGGUGUAUUGAAGCAAAGACAGAACUGAGAGUUGCAGUACACCCUCAGGCACUGGAAUUUCCUUGUGAUAUAGGUAUUGUUCAGUCAUUUUUGUACUGUGUUAGAUUUGUUCAGAGCCAGCUGAAAAUAACGAGCUAUUACAUUUAUCUUCCUUCAAUGGUAUUCCCCAAAAUGUUUACAAUUCAGUUUUAAUGUCUGGCUUUUUGAUGUUAUAUGCAAUUCACUAUGUGAAGUCAUUGUGUUGUUAAACUGUGAGAGCAUUUGUAUUAAAUUUUGUUACAUUUUG